rnacentral:rRNA from 1 species
CGAGAAGGCAGCUACACGGCGACGUGAUGCUAAUCCCCAAAACCUCUCUCAGUUCGGAUUGGAGUCUGCAACCCGACUCCAUGAAGCUGGAUUCGCUAGUAAUCGCGCAUCAGCCACGGCGCGGUGAAUACGUUCCCGGGCCUUGUACACACCGCCCGUCAAGCCAUGGGAGCCGGGGGUACCUGAAGUGCGUAACCGCGAGGAGCGCCCUAGGGUAAAACUGGUGACUGGGGCUAAGUCGUAACAAGGUAUC